GCGUAGCGGCCAUCUUACGAAAGGGUUUGGCGCGCGGGUCAGUCGGGAGGCGCGAGAUUGUGGUGGCUUCGUCGCCGCCGCCGCUUUGGAAGAAUGCCUCCAAAAGGGCGGAAAAGGAAGGCAAAGAUCCCUCAAGCAGAAGCCUCAGUAUCCAAUGGAGCGGAAGCCAGUGAUGUGAAGAAGUUGCCCAAGAUCCAAAAGACUGAAGGAUCGGGAGACCUUCAUGUGACCAUUGAACACUGUAAAAGCUGACGAGUCUUUGGACGCAGAGCUGAGGCUGUCAGUCAAGAGCUGAGCCUGGCCUUUCCUGAUAUCCUUGUGGAGGUCAACCUUGAAAAACCCCGGAGAAAUAGCUUUGAAGUGGUUCUCUUGAAAAAGGAUGGCACCAAGAUAGAGCUAUGGAGUGGUCUUAAAAAAGGGCCACCCCGCAAAUUGAAGUUCCCAGAACCCAGCAACAUCGUUGAAAUGGUGAGGUGCAACUUAAACUAGAGUCAACAAUGAUGGAGGAGCAAAGUGCCUCUCUGACUGUCUAUUUGUCCUGUGAGCUGGAGCAUUUAUGAUGAGAUAUGAUGAAGUGGGGUAAAGAAACUCUGGUUGUAUCUCUGAAACUGCUGCCCCUCCUUUACAAGGAAAAAUGGACCAUUUCCUGCCCCAUCAUCCUUUCAAAUUUUGUUACUUCUUGGAACAUUUGGGGGAAGAACUUUAUUUCCAGUAAAGCUUAAUUGCCUCCCCUAUCUCUUGUUUAAUUCUGUCCUGUGAAAUAAAGCACACAGGCUUUGUGUAAUCGUGGUGCUCUGGAUUCCCCCAGUGGCAUCCUCAUCAGCCAGCAGCAAGUCUAGCAUUUGUUCCAACUCUCCAGCUGAAGCAAGGCUAUCAUACUGCUCCUCCUUGACCAGAUGAUCCAGCACAAAUGCCUCCAUGUCACAAUGAUUCCCAGCAGCAUCAGCUCCUUCAUCCAAGGCCACCUUCUUCUCAGACGUUUAACAGACCUUGGUGAUUUGCUGGAUGUCACAGUGCAAUGGUCUUUGGUGGCACAAGACGUAGACAGAGAUGGCAAGGAAA